AGAGCUCACAUGCUCCUUUGGUCUCAUUUUGUUCUGCAGAUGAACAGAUGCCCAUAGGAGGUCAUGCUAGUCUACCAUGGAUGUCCCUGUUAAACUUGAGUUACUCAAAAACUUCUCUCCCCAGGAUGCACAAAUAAUUCCUGCAGUUAUGAAGUGGGAUCCCUCAGGACCUGUGUGAAGAGUGCUGCUGGCUCAGAUCCCCCUAUCACCUACUGAACAGACCCAGCUCUGUUCAGGAAAACAAAAGUCUUCAUUCAGCAUUCCAUUUUCUUCACCCUUCACCAUUGGAAAUUUUUUAUAUGAGCUGAAUUAGCUAUGCCAGACUUUGAGGUAAAUGUCCUGAGUGGCUCAGUGA